GAUGAACGCUGGCGGCGUGCCUAAUACAUGCAAGUCGAGCGAACAGACGAGGAGCUUGCUCCUCUGACGUUAGCGGCGGACGGGUGAGUAACACGUGGAUAACCUACCUAUAAGACUGGGAUAACUUCGGGAAACCGGAGCUAAUACCGGAUAAUAUAUUGAACCGCAUGGUUCAAUAGUGAAAGACGGUUUUGCUGUCACUAAUCGCUGGUUCCCCGCCGCAUUAGCUAGUUGGUAAGGUAACGGCUUACCAAGGCAACGAUGCGUAGACGACCUGAGAGGGUGAUCGGCCACACUGGAACUGAGACACGGUCCAGACUCCUACGGGAGGCAGCAGUAGGGAAUCUGCCGCAAUGGGCGAAAGCCUGACGGAGCAACGCCGCGUGAGUGAUGAAGGUCUUCGGAUCGUAAAACUCUGUUAUUAGGGAAGAACAAAUGUGUAAGUAACUAUGCACGUCUUGACGGUACCUAAUCAGAAAGCCACGGCUAACUACGUG
rnacentral:rRNA from 1 species